rnacentral:lncRNA from 1 species
AUGAAGAUAUAUGUGUUAAUUAUGAUGAUAUUUAAACACCGUUCUUUACUAGUUUAAACUUUUAAAGAAUAAUAGUUAUUUUGUGUUAUUUAAUAUGAUAUCAGCAUAGAAAGUUUUGAGUUCGAGUCACGCCAUUCUCCUAGCAUCAUUAAUUUUCUCUCAUUUAAUUCAAGUCUAGAUGUGAAAGGAAGUGUUAAUUAAAUAUAAAAAUAUUUAAAUAUUGUUCUCUACUAACUUAAACUUUUAGAAAAUAACGCUUGUUUCGUAUUAUUUAAUAAUAUAUACAACUUUUCU